GGCUCCAUAGCUCAGUGGUUAGAGCACUAGUCUUAUAAACCAUGGGUCGCGAGUUCGAUCCUCGCUGGGGCAU